AAGAUUGGGAAAUGGGCGAAAGCCUGACCCAGCAACGCACCGCGACGGAAGAAGGAUUUCGGUUUGGAAACUUCUUUUAGCAGGGACGAAGACGUCACGGUACCUGCAGAACAAGCUCCGGCUAACUACGUGCCAGCAGCCGCGGUAAUACGUAGGGAGCAAGCGUUAUCCGGAUUUACUGGGUGUAAAGGGCGCGUAGGCGGGAGUAUAAGUCAGAUGUGAAAUCUGGGGGCUCAACCCCCAAACUGCAUUUGAAACUGUAUUUCUUGAGUGAUGGAGAGGCAAGUGGAAUUCCUAGUGUAGCGGUGAAAUGCGUAGAUAUUAGGGGGAACACCAGUGGCGAAGGCGACUUGCUGGACAUUAACUGACGCUGAGGCGCGAAAGCGUGGGGAGCAAACAGG
rnacentral:rRNA from 1 species